UGCCAGACUCCUACGGGAGGCAGCAGUGGGGAAUAUUGCACAAUGGGGGAAACCCUGAUGCAGCAACGCCGCGUGAGUGAAGAAGUAUUUCGGUAUGUAAAGCUCUAUCAGCAGGGAAGAAAAUGACGGUACCUGAGUAAGAAGCCCCGGCUAACUACGUGCCAGCAGCCGCGGUAAUACGUAGGGGGCAAGCGUUAUCCGGAUUUACUGGGUGUAAAGGGAGCGUAGACGGCGAUACAAGUCUGAAGUGAAAGCCCGGGGCUCAACCCCGGGACUGCUUUGGAAACUGUGUUGCUGGAGUGCUGGAGAGGCAAGCGGAAUUCCUAGUGUAGCGGUGAAAUGCGUAGAUAUUAGGAAGAACACCAGUGGCGAAGGCGGCUUGCUGGACAGUAACUGACGUUGAGGCUCGAAAGCGUGGGGAGCAACCAGGAUUAGAUACCCGCGUAAC
rnacentral:rRNA from 1 species